CCAGGGAGGAUGGUCCACCAGGGAGGAUGGUCCACCAGGGAGGACUGCCCGCCAGGGAGGACUGCCCGCCAGGGAGGACGGUCCGCCAGGGAGGACGGUCCGCCAGGGAGGAUGGUCCACCAGGGAGGAUGGUCCACCAGGGAGGAUGGCCCGCCAGGGAGGACUGCCUGCCAGGGAGGACGGCCCACCAAGGAGGAUGGCCCGCCAGGGAGGACUGCCCGCCAAGGAGGACUGCCUGCCAGGGAGGACUGCCCGCCAGGGAGGACUGCCCGCCAGGGAGGACAGCCCGCCAAGGAGGAUGGCCCGCCAGGGAGGACUGCCCGCCAAGGAGGACUGCCCGCCAGGGAGGAUGGUCCGCCUGGGAGGAUGGCCCACCAAGGAGGAUGGCCCGCCAGGGAGGACUGCCCGCCAAGGA
rnacentral:lncRNA from 1 species